AUUGAACGCUGGCGGCAGGCCUAACACAUGCAAGUCGAACGAGAGGCGGACGGGUGAGUAAUGUCUGGGAAACUGCCUGACGGAGGGGGAUAACUACUGGAACCGGUAGCUAAUACCGCAUACCAUCGGAUGUGCCCAGAUGGGAUUAGCGAGUCGUGGGGGUAACAGCUCACCUAGGCGACGAUCCCUAGCUGGUCGGAGAUGAUGACCAGCCACACGGGAACUGAGACACGGUCCAGACUCCUACGGGAGGCAGCAGUGGGGAAUAGUGCACAAUGGGCGCAAGCCUGAUGCAGCCAUGCCGCGUGUGUGAAGAAGGCCUUCGGGUUGUAAAGCACUGUCAGCAGGGAGGCGUUACCCGCAGAAGAAGCACCGGCUAACUACGUGCCAGCAGCCGCGGUAAUAC
rnacentral:rRNA from 1 species